rnacentral:rRNA from 1 species
UACGUAGGCAGCGAGCGUUGUUCGGAGUUACUGGGCGUAAAGGGUGUGUAGGCGGUUUUCUAAGUUUGGUGUGAAAUCUCCCGGCUCAACCGGGAGGGUGCGCCGAAAACUGGGAGACUAGAGUGCGGGAUGGGAGAGUAGAAUUCCCGGUGUAGUGGUGAAAUGCGUAGAUAUCGGGAGGAACACCAGUGGCGAAGGCGACUACCUGGCCUGUUCUUGACGCUGAGGCGCGAAAGCUAGGGGAGCAAACGGG